rnacentral:rRNA from 1 species
AUUGAACGCUGGCGGCAGGCUUAACACAUGCAAGUCGAGCGGAGAUGAGGUGCUUGCACCUUAUCUUAGCGGCGGACGGGUGAGUAAUGCUUAGGAAUCUGCCUAUUAGUGGGGGACAACAUUCCGAAAGGAAUGCUAAUACCGCAUACGUCCUACGGGAGAAAGCAGGGGAUCUUCGGACCUUGCGCUAAUAGAUGAGCCUAAGUCGGAUUAGCUAGUUGGUGGGGUAAAGGCCUACCAAGGCGACGAUCUGUAGAGGGUCUGAGAGGAUGAUCCGCCACACUGGGACUGAGACACGGCCCAGACUCCUACGUGAGGCAGCAGUGGGGAAUAUUGGACAAUGGGGGAAACCCUGAUCCAGCCAUGCCGCGUGUGUGAAGAAGGCCUUAUGGUUGUAAAGCACUUUAAGCGAGGAGGAGGCUACUGAGACUAAUACUCUUGGAUAGUGGACGUUACUCGCAGAAUAAGCACCGGCUAACUCUGUGCCAGCCGCCGCAGUAA